AUACGGAGGAUCCGAGCGUUAUCCGGAUUUAUUGGGUUUAAAGGGUGCGCAGGCGGGAGAUUAAGUCGGCGGUGAAAUUUUGCAGCUCAACUGUAAAAGUGCCUUCGAAACUGGUUUCCUUGAGUGUAGAUGAAGUAGGCGGAAUUUGUGGUGUAGCGGUGAAAUGCAUAGAUAUCACGAGGAACUCCGAUUGCGCAGGCAGCUUACUAAACUACUACUGACGCUCAGGCACGAAGGCGUGGGGAUCAAACAGGAUUAGAUACCCUGGUAGUCCACGCAGUAAACGAUGAUUACUAGCUGUUUGCGAUACAAUGUAAGCGGCUGAGCGAAAGCGUUAAGUAAUCCACCUGGGGUGUACGUUCGCAAGAAUGAAACUCAAAUGAAUUGGCGGGG
rnacentral:rRNA from 1 species